AUUGAACGCUGGCGGCAGGCCUAACACAUGCAAGUCGAGCGGAUGAAGGGAGCUUGCUCCUGGAUUCAGCGGCGGACGGGUGAGUAAUGCCUAGGAAUCUGCCUGGUAGUGGGGGAUAACGUCCGGAAACGGGCGCUAAUGCCGCAUACGUCCUGAGGGAGAAAGUGGGGGAUCUUCGGACCUCACGCUAUCAGAUGAGCCUAGGUCGGAUUAGCUAGUUGGUGGGGUAAAGGCCUACCAAGGCGACGAUCCGUAACUGGUCUGAGAGGAUGAUCAGUCACACUGGAACUGAGACACGGUCCAGACUCCUACGGGAGGCAGCAGUGGGGAAUAUUGGACAAUGGGCGAAAGCCCGAUCCAGCCAUGCCGCGUGUGUGAAGAAGGUCUUCGGAUUGUAAAGCACUUUAAGUUGGGAGGAAGGGCAGUAAGUUAAUACCUUGCUGUUUUGACGUUACCAACAGAAUAAGCACCGGCUAACUUCGUG
rnacentral:rRNA from 1 species